AUUUGCACGAACUGAGUGUGCGAGUGAUGCUCAGUUGCGCCCGCUUUCGCCGUUCUGUGUGUGUGUGUGUGCGUGUGCAUGCGUUUGUGUGUGCAUGCGUGUAUGUGUGUGUGUAUGUGUGCAUGUGUGUGUAUGUGCGUGCGUGCAUGUGUGUGCGUGCGUGUGAGUGUGUGUACAUGCGUGUGUGUAUAUGUGUGUGCGUGCAUGUGUAUAUGUGUGUGUGCGUGCAUGUGUGUGUGUUGGUGUGGUGUGUGUGUGCAUGUGUGUGUGUGUGUCGGGGUUGGCGCCAUCUCCAGGGGACGCAGCGCGCGAGCCAGACGGACACGGCGCGUGCAGAUCGGCGGCGCGGAAUUACGGACGCGACUUCGGACUCGUCGCCAGCGGAGAUGUCCACCAGCCAGAAUAAAUGACCAGCGCCCGACCGGACGGCCUUCGCUGAAAAUUGAGGGACGAGAUGGGGGGCAUGACAAGGAGCCUUCGGAGUUCCUUCUGCUGACAGCCACCAAUCCUCCCUCCCCCCUCCAGCAACGAGGGGGUGACAGUAAUCACUGCGAGAUUGAUGACCACUUCAGCCCAGCGCCGGGGCCUGUCCCCGCCGAGAUAAAAGACCUUCAGCUGCCAUCUUUUCUUCUCUUUCAGGAAAUGUAGCGAGACAGUAGUGCAAUGCAGGACUGACUUUUAAAGCCUUUUGGACUUCAGUGUUGAAAACGGGAGUGUCGAAGGCAUGGAAGGAAUGGGGUCUUUUUUAAAUAAGCCUCGUGAAGGAGCUUCCCUUCCCUGUACUCAACGCCUUUAGCCAUUAGGCAGUCUGGGCUUGAACUCAUGAACUCAUUUCUGAACUAUGCCAUGAGCUGGAAUAUAAAUAUGCUUUGCAUUUAUCUAAAUUAUUCUAUAAAACUUGAUAUGAAUUAGA
rnacentral:lncRNA from 1 species